rnacentral:rRNA from 1 species
UACAGAGGGGGCUAGCGUUAUUCGGAAUUAUUGGGCGUAAAGGGCGCGUAGGCGGCCAUGCGUGUCUUCCGUGAAAUCCCUCGGCUUAACUGAGGACGUGCGGAAGAAACUGCAAGGCUCGAGUCCGGGAGAGGGGGGUGGAAUUCCCAGUGUAGCGGUGAAAUGCGUAGAUAUCGAGAGGAACACCUGCGGCGAAGGCGGGUUGCUGGGCUGACACUGACGCUGAUGCGCGAAAGCCAGGGGAGCGAACGGG